rnacentral:rRNA from 1 species
GAUGAACGCUGGCGGCGUGCCUAACACAUGCAAGUCGAACGAAGCUGUUUAACGGAAGCCUUCGGGUGGAAGUUGAAUAGACUGAGUGGCGGACGGGUGAGUAACGCGUGGGUAACCUGCCCUACACAGGGGGACAACAGCUGGAAACGGCUGCUAAUACCGCAUAAGCGCACAGUACCGCAUGGUACAGUGUGAAAAACUCCGGUGGUGUAGGAUGGACCCGCGUCCGAUUAGCUAGUUGGUGAGGUAAGAGCUCACCAAGGCGACGAUCGGUAGCCGGCCUGAGAGGGCGGACGGCCACAUUGGGACUGAGACACGGCCCAGACUCCUGCGGGAGGCAGCAGUGGGGGAUAUUGCACAAUGGGGGAAACCCUGAUGCAGCGACGCCGCGUGGGUGAAGACGGCCUUCGGGUUGUAAAGCCCUGUUGAGGGGGACGAUAAUGACGGUACCCCUUUAGAAAGCCACGGCUAACUACGUGCCAGCAGCCGCCGCAGUAACAC